rnacentral:tRNA from 1 species
GUGGGUAUAGCUCAGUGGUAGAACGCAUGCUUUAGCAUGCAUGAAGUCCUGGGUUCAAUCCUCGGUCCCUCCA